rnacentral:piRNA from 1 species
UGGAAAGUUUGAACUUGUUGCUUUGUGGA